GAUGAACGCUAGCUACAGGCUUAACACAUGCAAGUCGCGGGGCAUCAUGGAGGUUGCUUGCAAUUUCUGAUGGCGACCGGCGCACGGGUGAGUAACGCGUAUCCAACCUUCCCAUUACUACGGCAUACCCCGUUGAAAGGCGGCCUAAUUCCGUAUGCAGUCCGAAGCAGUCAUCUAAUUUGGACGAAAGGUAUAUUCUAUCGGUAAUGGAUGGGGAUGCGUCCGAUUAGCCAGCCGGCGGGGUAACGGCCCACCGGGGCAUCGAUCGGUAGGGGUUCUGAGAGGAAGGUCCCCCACACUGGAACUGAGACACGGUCCAGACUCCUACGGGAGGCAGCAGUGAGGAAUAUUGGUCAAUGGGCGUAAGCCUGAACCAGCCAAGUAGCGUGCAGGAUGACGGCCCUAUGGGUUGUAAACUGCUUUUAUGCGGGGAUAAAGUUGGGGACGUGUCCCUUUUUGCAGUACCGCAUGAAUAAGGACCGG
rnacentral:rRNA from 1 species